rnacentral:rRNA from 1 species
GACGUAGGGCGCGAGCGUUGUCCGGAUUUAUUGGGCGUAAAGAGCUCGUAGGCGGCUCAUCGCGUCUGCCGUGAAAACCCGCAGCUCAACUGCGGGCUUGCGGUUGAUACGGGUGAGCUGGAGUUCGGUAGGGGAGACUGGAAUUCCUGGUGUAGUGGUGAAAUGCGCAGAUAUCGUAAGGAAGACCAGUGGCGAAGGCGGGUCUCUGGACAGUUCCUGACGCUGAGGCACGAAGGUCAGGGGAGCAAACGGG